UAAUGAAUGUCGUUUUGGACUUUCUAUGCAAAGCUCACUUCCAUGUGGCCACAAACCAAUGCAAUGCAUCUCAGAACCACUUGGUCUGUUCUGCAAAUACUGAGGCACCUCAAGCAAGUUGUUCCUAUAGCAAGAUUCUCCACGAAGAACUGAGAUAGGAUCAACUUGGAGCGGAGCAUCAAAUGCUCCAGCGAGAACAAUAUCUUUGCAAUUUGAGGUAUCCAAUCCAAGGACAUUGUCCUCAUGCUUGCGUUUAUGUUUACUCUCGGGCAAAAUAGAACCCAAUCCAUUCUCAUCUCGGGGCCUGUGUUUCUUACAGAAAGGAGAGCCGCAUAAGGCGCGAUGUUUACAUUUAGUCCCAAGAACAGUGGUCCCUCCACACAUAGGUGUAUCAACAUGUGGAGAUGCAUCCACCUUAAUUGAGGUACUGGCAAAGCGAGAGGCCAAGUGCACACAACAAUAA
rnacentral:misc_RNA from 1 species